rnacentral:tRNA from 1 species
UCUCCCAUAGCUCAGUCGGUAGAGCGACGGACUGUUAAUCCGCAGGUCCCUGGUUCGAGCCCAGGUUGCAGAA